rnacentral:miRNA from 1 species
CUGCUAAGCCAUCUCUCCAGUCCAGAACUACUUUUUAAAAAUAGGUUCUUUGGUCUGGAGAGAUGGCUUAGCAGU